rnacentral:rRNA from 1 species
UACGUGAGGGGGCAAGCGUUGUCCGGAAUCGAUUGGCGUAAAGAGCGUGUAGGCGGUUCGGUAAGUCGGCUGUGAAAGUCCAGGGGCUCAACCCUGGGAUGCCGGUCGAUACUGCCGGACUAGAGUUCGGAAGAGGCGAGUGGAAUUCCCGGUGUGAGCGGUGAAAUGCGCAGAUAUCGGGAGGAACACCUAUGGCGAAGGCAGCUCGCUGGGACGUUACUGACGCUGAGACGCGAAAGCGUGGGGAGCAAACAGG